UAUUCUCAGUAACAUAACAUGAAUGUUGGUACCUGCAAUGAGGGUUUCUCAACCUUCCUAGCACCUAAGCAUGGCAAUGUGAAAAAGUUGUAGGUCAUAAAAUAGAAAUGGUAUAUUUAUUGUGUGUCCAGCAGAAAACUUUAAAAGUUCUGAUUCAGCUGGACAGAGCUCCCUUUCACCUGAAGCUUGGACAUGAUGGUUGGAGCUACAGCAGAUGUGAAUCCCAAAGUGACAUUGAGGAUAGAUGCCAUAAGCUGAGUGUAUGGAGGAGCCAAAAGAGGUAAUAAUCUCUAUGAUAUAUUACUUAGUAAAAAUCCAAGAUUCCCUGAAUCAAUGCAAGUGAUAGUUCAAAGCAGCAGCAAUUCCACGAACAAGAGAAGAUCCAGCAGAGUUCAACCAUAUAAACACUGGAGGGAAAAAAGUGAACAUGGACUAUUCUCAGUACUUAACAGCAAAACAAUUUAAAUAUCAAAAGGUAAACAGUAGUACUCUUGCAGAACUAAUGAAGCUCCUAAAUACAUAUUAGUAAAAUCUAUUCAUGUUGUUUUAUCUUGGAGAGUAAAAUAUAAAGAUAUCCUACAAUGUUUUCACGCAAUUUUGAAGUGAAAAUUAUUUCAAAACAAAACAAAAUGCAUAUGUUAUCCAUUUGACUAAUUAAUGCAAUAUUAUGAUUGUAAUUAUAAUUUGUGGUCACAUACAAGAUAUUACUUGUAUGUAGUUUUCAAGCCAUGUCACAAUCAAUCAUUUCUUUUUAUACUAUAAGGUUGCCAUAUUAACAACAGGAUAUGCAAUUAAAUUUGAAUUUCAUUUAAACAAUGAAAACAAUGUAGUGUAAGUGUGUUCUAUGUAUGUGUCUUACACAGUAUUUGCAUGGAAUGUAAGUAUAUGAAAAAUAUUGCCUGUUGUUUAUCUGACAUUUGAAUUUAGGUGUCCUGUAUUUGUAUUUUCUAAAUCUGGCAGCUGCACUACAACAAUAUGCUACUUCUUAUUUUAACUGGAUUGUAUUUGGAUUAUUUCUCUACUACCAAUUAUCUAAGGAAAAUGAGAACUUUCUAAAUUGUAAUAAAAGUCUAGAAGGAAGUAUCA
rnacentral:lncRNA from 13 species